rnacentral:lncRNA from 1 species
AAUUCGAACUAGAACCCAAGUAAUCCAACAAUUUCCAAUUGAUAUUAAUCAAUUUCAGUAGAUUCAAUAAUUUCGGACUCAAAAUAUCAAGCACAGAUAGACAAAUACGAUUAAACAGUGAAGAACAAAUACGAUUUCUAUUUUAGAACACUGAUGAACAGAUCUUACUAUUUUUGGAAUUUUUCGAUUUUUUUUUUUUGAUUUUCUGAUUUGAUGAUAAUCAAAACAAACAGCCAAGGAUUGAUACAACAAUCCUCAACCUCCGCUUAUACCAAGAUGAUACGAACAACAAAGGAAAACACGGAUAUAGCAAAGUAUGCCGAAUCAAAAAUAACAGCUACACCUAGAAUUGUUUGGAAGAACAAGAACCAAUUAUGAUAUAGCAAAGUAUGCCGAAUCAAAAAUAACAGCUACACCUAGAAUUGUUUGGAAGAACAAGAACCAAUUAUGAUAUGAAAUUUAAUUACUCAAUCAAUUAUAACCCUAAGCUAGGAAUAUACAAUUGAUUGAUUAGAAAAAUAACAACCAAUU